AGAGUGAACGCUGGCGGCAGGCCUAACACAUGCAAGUCGAACGGCAGCACGAGAGAGCUUGCUCUCUUGGUGGCGAGUGGCGGACGGGUGAGGAAUACGUCGGAAUCUGCCUUUUUGUGGGGGAUAACGUAGGGAAACUUACGCUAAUACCGCAUACGACCUACGGGUGAAAGCGGAGGACCUUCGGGCUUCGCGCAGAAAGAUGAGCCGACGUCGGAUUAGCUAGUUGGAGGGGUAAUGGCCCACCAAGGCGACGAUCCGUAGCUGGUCUGAGAGGAUGAUCAGCCACACUGGGACUGAGACACGGCCCAGACUCCUACGGGAGCAGCAGUGGGGAAUAUUGGACAAUGGGCGAAAGCCUGAUCCAGCAAUGCCGCGUGAGUGAUG
rnacentral:rRNA from 1 species